GCUGCUGUUGGAUUUUUUCUCCUUGGAUUUUUCAUCAGCGCUAUGUCAGCGGAUGCGCCUUGUCCUCUUGUAAAUUGCGUGGCGGGUUCUCAAGUCGGGUGCUUCGUGACGCAACAGAGAUGCCAAUGUUCGUGUGUAAAAGGCACCGACCCCUGUCGGUAUGUGAUCCAGAACUUCUCCCGUAACUGCGCUCCAAACCACGCCCUGAUGUGCAA
rnacentral:lncRNA from 1 species